rnacentral:lncRNA from 1 species
AUAAGUUGGCUGAGGGUAUGAUAAAGCUGACUCUGCUCCUGAUAAGGGGUAAUAUGAAUAUGCAGGAGGAUAAUUUGUUGGAUAUGGCACCCCUUUAAAUUGGCUAUGGAACCCAUAAUUUGAUGAAGUAUCUUCAUAUGAUGAGCUACCACCAGGUCCACCACUAUACAUAAAAUUUGGAUUAUACGUGCCAGUGUCGUAUCCAUAAUUUAAUGAAUCAAUUGACUCCUCCUCAUAUGCAACACUCUUACCCCUUGUUUGGGAUGUUUCAGCACCACCAGUACCAGAACUAUGAGAGCCUCUUGAUCUUUGAUAUGUACGCAUUGGAGAUGGUUCAGAAGCAAUUCUAAUUCCACUUUGUCUUUGACUAGGUGGAUCUUGUGAACUACGACUACCACCUCCUUCAACUGUGGUUCCUUCUCCUUGAUCACCACCACCACCAUCAUCAUCACUACUAGAGCUGGAUAAAAUAAAAGAAUCAUCAUCACCAGCACCACCUUGUUGUCCUUGAGUUUGAGUGGCAGAUUCAGACUGUGAUGGAGCAUUACCCGCCUCUUCAUCAUCCAACCAUGGAUUUGGUUGCCCAUCAAGCAAUGGAGAUUCCCUUUCCUCCAACCAAGAGUUUAACAGAUCAUCUUCUUCAAAAAUAUAAUCCAAAUUAAUUGGAUUGUAACUCCUGUCUAACUCCUGUUGGCUUUGUCUUGUCACAUUUCUAAUUUUCAGCCUCAUGUUGUAGUGCACAAAGACAAGUGCAUGUAAUUUUUGAUACUUCAAUCUGUUUCUUGUCUUUGUGUGAAUGAGAGAAAAUGUGCUCCAAUUUCUCUCGCAGUUUGAAGCCGAAGUUGUUUGACUCAGUACUUUAAUAGCGAUUUUUCUCAACUCAGGAGCACUUUCUCCAUAAUUAAUCCACCACUCAACUGCAAAAUAUUUUUAAAUUUUUAUUAUUUUAAUGAAUGUAGUUAUAUAAAAAUGAAUGAACAAAAAUAAUUUAUACUUAUUUUAUAAACUUAGUACAUGGAUUAGUGAACUUAAUUGCUUUUUGCGCCAAAACUGUUUCAAAACUCUCUAUUUUGUCCCGAAAAAGUAAGGCCUACAUGUUCCAAAUUCCAGUAAGUUAACUUCAAGUUCAAAAGCAAUAGUUCAAGCUUCAAGCCUUCAACUACACUAACAUAGUAACACUUGAGAAUUAGCUUGUUACUUACUUGAUUUAAUGCUUUUCCUUGAUUUACUAAAUCCCCCUCUAGAUGUUGAAU